rnacentral:rRNA from 1 species
CAAACUGGAGAUGGCGACCGGCGCACGGGUGAGUAACACGUAUCCAACCUGCCGAUAACUCGGGGAUAGCCUUUCGAAAGAAAGAUUAAUACCCGAUAGUAUAAUGAAACCGCAUGGCCUUAUUAUUAAAGAAUUUCGGUUAUCGAUGGGGAUGCGUUCCAUUAGGCAGUUGGUGAGGUAACGGCUCACCAAACCUUCGGUGGAUAGGGGUUCUGAGAGGAAGGUCCCCCACAUUGGAACUGAGACACGGUCCAA